rnacentral:rRNA from 1 species
CCCGCUGAACUUAAGCAUAUUAAUAAGCGGAGGAAAAGAAACCAACUGGGAUUCCCCUAGUAACGGCGAGCGAAGCGGGAAUAGCUCAAAUUUGAAAUCGGGCCGUCUUGCAGCGGACCUGAAUUGUAAUUUGACGAGCCGUGCCCUGGCGCGCGCCGGGUCAAAGUCCUCUGGAAAGGGGCGCCAUAGAGGGUGACAGUCCCGUCUGUGGCCUGGCAGCGCGGCGGUGUGGGCCGGCUUCAUAGAGUCGGGUUGCUUGGGAAUGCAGCCCUAAGCGGGUGGUAAAUUCCAUCUAAGGCUAAAUAUGCGCGAGAGACCGAUAGCGAACAAGUACCGUGAGGGAAAGUUGAAAAGUACUCUGAAGAGAGAGUCAAACAGUACGUGAAAUUGCCAACAGGGAAACGUUGAGGGCCAGUACACGUAGGCGCAGAAUCAGCGUAAUGGAACACGGCGCAGGAGGCCGAACGAUCAUCACAUUGGUGGCGAACGGUCAGUUGCUGCGGCGUUCUGUUGCGUGCGCGUUUGCGCUUACGGGCCAGCAUCGGUUAAUGGCGGUACAUAACGGCCGGGCGAAGGUGCCUCUGCCGCAAGGUGGAGGACUUACAGCGCCCGGUGCAGCGUAUCGACAAUGACUGAGGUUUUGCGGACCGUGCCCUUGGGCAGGGCUCGGCAGUGGUGGUGGACGGUACUGCUGUGGACAGCUUGCUGACCGUGGUAGGCAUGCGUCUUUCGCUGUUGUUGAGUCUCUAACGGUCUUCGGACGCUGGCGAAAUGGCAUUCAACGACCCGUCUUGAAACACGG